rnacentral:lncRNA from 1 species
GGCACAGGGGAGGCCCUGAGUCACAACGAUGGUGAUGCCCAGGGCAGAAGAUGUCAGAAGACAGGCAGUUUCUCACGGUGCUUCUGAAGGUCGUGAAAAAGCCAGAGGUGAGUCUGUGAAGUCCCUGCUGGCCAUGAUGAUGUCCCUGACAGCUGGGGAUCCUGGUGAGAACAGCAUUCAGAACUUGGGAUUCUCCUUGCAGAUCACAACGGUUGGCUGACUCGGGGAAAGGGGGAGCUUUGCAGAGAGCCUCAGACAUCUCCAGCUGAGCUGCACCUGUCAAGGCCCCUGAGCCGUCCAGGAAGAAGGAGGCACUGAGGUGGGGAAUGGGGUCCUGGCCUGGGGUCAGCAGCCUGGGCUCUGGUUCCAGUUCCGCACCCCCCCUUGCCCCCCAGAACUACCUGUAUGGCAAGCUCCUUUCCCUUCCUGUGCCUCAGUUUCCUCCUCUGUAAAAUCAGUUUAGACUACACUGCAAGAUUGUCCAGCCCGCAGCCAGUGGGCCGCAUGCCAGCCAGGACAGCUUUGAAUGUGGCCCAACACAAAUUCGUAAACUUUCAUAAAACAUUAUGAAA